CAACAGAGACCAUGUGACCUGUGGGCUUCCCUUUGUCAUCCUAUGCCUGGAGAUCACAGUGAGGCAGGGACAGCAAAGGGAUGCUCAGCUGUCGUCUCUUCC
rnacentral:pre_miRNA from 9 species